CAUGCUGUGAGCUCGAUGAGUAGGGCGGGACACGUGGUAUCCUGUCUGAAUAUGGGGGGACCAUCCUCCAAGGCUAAAUACUCCUGACUGACCGAUAGUGAACCAGUACCGUGAGGGAAAGGCGAAAAGAACCCCGGCGAGGGGAGUGAAAAAGAACCUGAAACCGUGUACGUACAAGCAGUGGGAGCACGCUUAGGCGUGUGACUGCGUACCUUUUGUAUAAUGGGUCAGCGACUUAUAUUCUGUAGCAAGGUUAACCGAAUAGGGGAGCCGAAGGGAAACCGAGUCUUAACUGGGCGUUAAGUUGCAGGGUAUAGACCCGAAACCCGGUGAUCUAGCCAUGGGCAGGUUGAAGGUUGGGUAACACUAACUGGAGGACCGAACCGACUAAUGUUGAAAAAUUAGCGGAUGACUUGUGGCUGGGGGUGAAAGGCCAAUCAAACCGGGAGAUAGCUGGUUCUCCCCGAAAGCUAUUUAGGUAGCGCCUCGUGAAUUCAUCUCCGGGGGUAGAGCACUGUUUCGGCAAGGGGGUCAUCCCGACUUACCAACCCGAUGCAAACUGCGAAUACCGGAGAAUGUUAUCACGGGAGACACACGGCGGGUGCUAACGUCCGUCGUGAAGAGGGAAACAACCCAGACCGCCAGCUAAGGUCCCAAAGUCAUGGUUAAGUGGGAAACGAUGUGGGAAGGCCCAGACAGCCAGGAUGUUGGCUUAGAAGCAGCCAUCAUUUAAAGAAAGCGUAAUAGCUCACUGGUCGAGUCGGCCUGCGCGGAAGAUGUAACGGGGCUAAACCAUGCACCGAAGCU
rnacentral:rRNA from 1 species